rnacentral:rRNA from 1 species
AUUGAACGCUGGCGGCAUGCCUUACACAUGCAAGUCGAACGGUAACAGGUCUUCGGAUGCUGACGAGUGGCGAACGGGUGAGUAAUACAUCGGAACGUGCCUAGUAGUGGGGGAUAACUACUCGAAAGAGUGGCUAAUACCGCAUGAGAUCUACGGAUGAAAGCAGGGGAUCGCAAGACCUUGUGCUACUAGAGCGGCCGAUGGCAGAUUAGGUAUUUGGUGGGAUAAAAGCUUACCAAGCCGACGAUCUGUAGCUGGUCUGAUAGGACGAUCAGCCACACUGGGAAGGAGACACGGCCCAGACUCCUACGGGAGCCAGCAGUGGGGAAUUUUGGACAAUGGGGGAAAGCCUGAUCCAGCAAUGCCGCGUGCAGGAUGAAGGCCUUCGGGUUGUAAACUGCUUUUGUACGGAACGAAAAGCCCCGGGUUAAUACCCUGGGGUCAUGACGGUACCGUAAGAAUAAGCACCGGCUAACUACGUGCCAGCCGCCGCGGUAA